ensembl:misc_RNA Metazoa_SRP Metazoan signal recognition particle RNA
GCUGGGUGUGGAGGCUCACACCUGUAAUCCCAACACUUUGGGAGGCUGAGGUGGGUGGAUCACCUGAGGUCAGGAGUUCAAGACUAGCCUGGCCAAUAUGGUGAAACCCUAUCUCUA